GGAGUCACCAGCCAGACACAGGAAGCAUGAUGACAAGGCAGAACUGAGAAAAGAUUAAGUAUGUGUAAGAUUUGUGCAUUGCAAGACGCAAAACAUGGCAGAGAAGACUGACAUCAGGAGACGACACCUCCAUAGUUUCGAGGAUUCAAUAUUGUUAAAAGGUUUUGGAAUCGGACAUAUAAGGAUUCACACAUCAGCUGUGAUAGUUUUGUAGUUAAUGAAUAACUCAGUUAACCUUGCCGCGGCUCAGCAUCCUGAUCUACGAGAUGGGGAUAAUCCUAUUCAGUACCUGACUUGUUAGGAGGAUUAAAGGUAAUCUCGGAAAGCUCCUGGCAGAGCAGCUGCUGCUCCGUAGGCAGCGAGUGAGUGUGACGUCGGCAGCGAGUGACGGGUCGGCAGCGAGUGACGUCGGCAGCGAGUGACGUCAGCAACGAGUGACGUCGGCAGCUCGUGUCGGCAGCUGCACCAGCAGGAGCAGCCAUGGCUGCGUGAGUGGUACUUGUGAUUUUCAUCAGUAAAAACAUUUUAAAGACUUGUUAUUUUAUUUCUGUGUGAGUGCCUGUGUGUCUGUGUACAUGUGUGCGAGUGUCCACAUAAGCCAGGCGAGGGUGCCAAAUCCCCUGGAGCUGGAGUUACAGGUGGUGGUGAGUUGCCCAACAUGGGUGCUACAACCAAACUCAGGUCCUCCGCAAGAGCCUUAAGUGUUAACCAUGGAGCCUCCCACCUCUUCGGCUCCUAAAUAAUAUCUUACACUACACAUAUUGUGUCAUUGUGUGAUCUAUUGUCA